CACGGGGGUUGCGAGCGUUGUCCGGAAUUACUAGGUGUAAAGGGCAGGCAGGCGGAUCCAUAAGUUUAUCGUUUAAGGCGUCGGCUUAACCGGCGUAGGGCGGUAGAUACUGUGGAUCUGGAAUGCGGUUGGGGAAGACAGAAUUCCUGGUGUAGCGGUGGAAUGCGCAGAGAUCAGGAGGAAUACCGAAGGCGAAGGCAGUCUUCCAAGCCGUUAUUGACGCUCAACUGCGAAGGUGUGGGUAUCAAACAGGAUUAGAUACCCGGGUAGUCCCUGAGCGGGCU
rnacentral:rRNA from 1 species